CGCGUAGGCGGAUAUGUAAGUCAGAUGUGAAAUACCGAGGCUUAACCUCGGUGCUGCAUUUGAAACUACAUAUCUUGAGGAUAGACGGAGAAAACGGAAUUCCACGUGUAGCGGUGAAAUGCGUGGAUAUGUGGAAGAACACCUGUGGCGAAAGCGGUUUUCUAGUUUAUUCCUGACGCUGAGGCGCGAGAGCAAGGGUGCAAACA
rnacentral:rRNA from 1 species